AGAAGGUAUGACUGUAGCCUUGUGACUAGCCUACAGUAUUUUAGGCCUACUUCAAAAUGUUUUUUUCUGUGUUUUCGAUCAACUGAUAACUAUAAAAACAGAUAUAGUAGACCGAAAGCUUAAAAAGACAGGUGGUGGUCCACGAGAAAAAAAAAUUAUCAAAAGCUUCAGAAGAAAUUGCCUUAACAGCAUCACUGAUGAGGGCCGAGUUAGCAGUGGCUGGUGAUUUUUACGAGACCUUCCGCAGUCACCCAGUAGAUGAAGAAAUAAUUCCCUAUAGAAUGUGCAGAUAGUUUUGCCUGUUCCAACCCCAGGGCCAUCAACUGUGCUCACAAGUCAUUGUUCCUGCCUCGACAGUGAAUGCUCCUACCUCACCAGUGAAUGCUCCUGCCUCACCAGUCAUUGCUCCUGCCUCACCAGUCAUUGCUCCUGCCUCACCAACACUGAAGCAGGUUCAGGUACAUUCAGGAGCCUGUGCGUGAGUAACAGACGUGACCAAUCGUCCAAGCGGCUAACAAGCCAAUCAGUGGUGAAUAGGAUAAAAGUAUAUACAUGCUGUUAGAAAUUUAUUUUCUUACAUUUUACAAUUAAAUAAUUUGAUUUAAAGUAAAUAAAUCUACAUUAAUUUAUUUUGUCAAAAAUUUUCUUAAGUUAAAAAAGCCUUCAGAAGUAUAGCGGCUAAUAUUUUGCUCACAAGUUGCCGCGCUUCUCUGGGCGCACAUGUCGCCGCUCUUCUCUGGGCGCGCACGUCGCCACCUCAGCUUGUAUGCGGCUGUGUGGGUGGAGCGACCCAAAAAUGUUUGGGCGCGCCCCCACACAUGCCGUCGUCCAACGGGCGUGUUUCGCCUUGUAGUAGGUGACCGCGACCCGUAGCCGGGGACGUCGAAGGUUCGGUCGGAUUGGCACCCCACUGCCGACUCUCUCAGCUCGUCUGAGUGGGGGGGGACGGGGGAGUUCCGCACGACUGGGGGCAACCGCCA